CUUGCUCUGCAUCCUUUGCAACCGAAACAGAGCACAGGCAGCUCACCUUGCUGCCCUUGUUUCCAGUCGCACCACAGUCGUGGGUCCCCUUGUUGCUGCGAACGCCGGCUACCGUCACAGUCGUUGCUACUGCCCAGCCAGUGACAACGCUGCUCGCCGCCCAGCCGUGAUCCUCGCAGCCUCUCCCUUACUCUGGUAACAGAAACAAGGUAAAUCACCAAUUGCCUUUGUUCCCGCAGAGCCACCGUCGAUUCCUAUUCUCCACUGCUGCAGCCACUAGAUGCCAUCAUCACAGUCUCAACCUGACUAUUUAGCGAUCGCUUCCGUGAGUCACAACAGUUGCAGUCGUCGCCUUCCAACCCCCGAC
rnacentral:lncRNA from 1 species